UACGUAGGGCGCAAGCGUUGUCCGGAAUUAUUGGGCGUAAAGAGCUCGUAGGCGGUCUGUUACGUCCGCUGUGAAAACCCGGGGCUCAACUUCGGGCUUGCGGUCGAUACGGGCGGGCUAGAGUUCGGUAGGGGAGACUGGAAUUCCUGGUGUAGCGGUGAAAUGCGCAGAUAUCAGGAGGAACACCGGUGGCGAAGGCGGGUCUCUGGGCCGAUACUGACGCUGAGGAGCGAAAGCGUGGGGAGCGAACAGG
rnacentral:rRNA from 1 species